rnacentral:rRNA from 1 species
UACAGAGGGGGCAAGCGUUGUUCGGAAUUACUGGGCGUAAAGGGCGCGUAGGCGGCCAUUCAAGUGACGGGUGAAAGCCCUCGGCUUAACCGAGGAACUGCCUGUCAGACUGGAUGGCUUGAGACCGGGAGAGGUGAGUGGAAUUCCCAGUGUAGCGGUGAAAUGCGUAGAUAUUGGGAGGAACACCAGUGGCGAAGGCGGCUCACUGGACCGGAACUGACGCUGAGGCGCGAAAGCGUGGGGAGCAAACAGG